rnacentral:rRNA from 1 species
GAUGAACGCUAGCUACAGGCUUAACACAUGCAAGUCGAGGGGCAGCAUGAACUUAGCUUGCUAAGUUUGAUGGCGACCGGCGCACGGGUGAGUAACACGUAUCCAACCUGCCGAUGACUCGGGGAUAGCCUUUCGAAAGAAAGAUUAAUACCCGAUGGCAUAAUUCUUCCGCAUGGUAGAACUAUUAAAGAAUUUCGGUCAUCGAUGGGGAUGCGUUCCAUUAGGUUGUUGGCGGGGUAACGGCCCACCAAGCCUUCGAUGGAUAGGGGUUCUGAGAGGAAGGUCCCCCCACAUUGGAACUGAGACACGGUCCAAACUCCUACGGGAGCAGCAGUGAGGAAUAUUGGUCAAUGGACGAGAGUCUGAACCAGCCAAGUAGCGUGAAGGAUGACUGCCCUAUGGGUUGUAAACUUCUUUUAUACGGGAAUAAAGUGAGGCACGUGUGCCUUUUUGUAUGUACCGUAUGAAUAAGGAUCGGCUAACUCCGUG